rnacentral:tRNA from 1 species
GGGGCUAUAGCUCAGCAGGAUAGAGCAGCCGCCUCCUAAGCGGCAGGUCGCAGGUUCGACUCCUGCUAGUCCCA